rnacentral:snRNA from 1 species
GUGCUCGCUUCGGCAGCACAUAUACUAAAAUUGGAACGAUACAGAGAUUAGCAUGGCCCCUGCGCAAGGAUGACACGCAAAUUUGUGAAGCAUUCCGUAUUU